UACGUAGGGUGCAAGCGUUAAUCGGAAUUACUGGGCGUAAAGCGUGCGCAGGCGGUUUUGUAAGUCUGAUGUGAAAUCCCCGGGCUCAACCUGGGAAUUGCAUUGGAGACUGCAAGGCUAGAAUCUGGCAGAGGGGGGUAGAAUUCCACGUGUAGCAGUGAAAUGCGUAGAGAUGUGGAGGAACACCGAUGGCGAAGGCAGCCCCCUGGGUCAAGAUUGACGCUCAUGCACGAAAGCGUGGGGAG
rnacentral:rRNA from 1 species